CAAAUGAGGGAGGCUCUUGGUGACUUCUGGUUUGUUCCUCAUCGGAGUCGGAGCGGAAUCCGCAAUCAUGCAUGGUUUCGCCCAAGCUCACUUGCUGGAGGGUCCCGAUCAGGACCAGAACCACCCUUGUGGGGUAGUGAAGAAGUGGGAAAUUACCUGGAGGGUUGAGGGGAGUUGCAACUCCCUUCCCUGACAGGAAAAUCCCUCCCAAAGGCAAGCUGCAGCAGUGGUCCUAAAAUGGCCGCCACGAAGACAAAGAACACUCUGGGAAACUAAGUUUUGUGCUGGAGCAGAGAAGUAGCGAGCAGUGUGAACCAGGCAAAGGACAUAGCUUUUGAGGUACCCCAGUAUUAAAAUAAAGGGCUAUCUUGGAGGGAAGUGUGUGAAA